UCGCACUGAAGGGAGAACAAUAUGGAAGUGCGACCUGGAGUGAGAGAUUGAGAGAAAAACGCGGAGAUUUUCAGCCACAGUGAACCCCAAAGCCACACACUGACUCGUUCUCCGUAAAAUGAUUAGCUGCUGUCACACUAGGAACGCUUUCUGACUAAUGACAAUGUUGGGUAUGUACGUGCCGGACAGGUUCGUACUGAAGUCCUCCGAGGUCCAAGAUGGAAUCGGGCUGUACACCGCCAGACGGGUGAAAAAGUUUCAGAGAAAACGCCGUCUAUUUCAGGGAAACUAGCCUGUCUGUGUCAGUCUGAGCAGUGAAAUGGCUGAAGGCAGAGGUUUACUGGAUCAAGACUAGUUGAGCUGUUCGAUCUGUCUGGAUCUACUGAAGACACAGUUACUGCAGUCUCAGCAACAGCAGAGUGGACUGAGAAACAGGUUGGAUUUCUUGUUUCUGUCCUGAUUUGGAUCAGUUUCGAGGCUUGCUAAUACAGACACCUGCCACGCUC